rnacentral:lncRNA from 1 species
UGAAAGGAUUAAAUGAAGGUUCAGCCUCACUAUAUUAGCAAGAAAGUGUGCAAGACUCUAGAAACCAGAAAACAGCCAAGAUUCUUGUUUCUCUUUAAGCAACAACUGAACCAGUUGUUCCACGAUUACUAUGUCCGUAUGUUCUUCAUUUUUCCAUCUCUAAAUUGCUUUGAUCCAGACGUUGAAGGACUCCUCUCUCCAUGAUGAUCAGUAGCAAUACUUUAACCAAACGCAGGAUAUGCGCAAAAAUUAUAAGAUCUUAAAAAGCAUUCCAUGCUAAAUCUCCGUCUUACAAAAAAAAAUGGGUUGUGGCAACGGCGAUCUCAAUGGUGGUAAGAAUCAAAAGGCAACCACUGAAAAUAUCAGACACAAAAAAAUCACAAUUAGUCUUUCUAAUUCCUUGCAAAAAAAAUAAAUAAAUGUUCUAAGAUGGAAGUGCGUAAUAUUUAGGGGGUACCGAAUCCAUGAAAGCAAUUUUUAGCCGACUUCAGUUAGAAGCCAAGCUAGUGAGAAAGGAGCUCACUUCUCAUAAUCAUCAACCAAAUUUGGUGUUAUUGUAAAUCUACGAGGAAGUUGCGUAAUAUGUAGCCUAUUUUUCUAAUAUCAAGUAUCACGCAGAUGGAACUUACUGACAUAUUAAUAUCGUAGCCUACUUCAGGAUCACUCAAAGUUUCGGUGGGAAUCUUUCAUUCACAAUAAUCUUUGACGUCCAUCAAGUGAUCCACUUGUUCCCCAUUUACCAGCAAGAAAGUCAUGACAUGCUAUGGCCUGCCUAUGACCUGGGUUGGGGAUACGUAAAUAAUCAGAACAAAGAUCAAAAAACUGUGUGUGUGUGUGUGGGAGAGAGAGAGAGAGAGCAAAAAAUACACAAAACAAUAGAUAUCAAAGGAAAGAGCAUCAAGAAAUAUCAUAAAAAAAUCUCACAUAAAAAAUAAACCAAUCACAAAUUCAUAUCUGGAAAACAGAAAGAAAGAAUAGACAAAAAAAAAAAACGCAAUGAAUUGGACAUUUAUGAAAAAUGUUGAUUAAACUUUAGAAAAAAUGAGAGGGCUUCGAUUCCUUUAAUUCUAGAAUUUUACAUAUUAUGGAAUCUGAAUAUUGUGCAAAUAGAUUUCCAGAAAUGAAUCCCCAAUGACAAGGAGCGUACGCAUAACCAAGCAACAUAAAACUUGAAACAAACUAAGUGCAGCAGACCCAAGUCCUGGCUGAGGGACCACAAUUUAUCUGAUUAAGUAACCUAAUUGCUUGAACCAAAAACUACUUCAUUCUUGAUUCCCUUCGUUCAACAAUAAAAAAAAUUCGGUUCAUAGACAAAAAAAAUUAUGUUUUACCAUCAAACCCAGCCAUGCUUGUGUUUAUUUUCCCUAGCAACGCAAUACUGCACGGAACAAAGUUUUAUUCCGUGCCUCACGAAGAACUGAUGAAGGCCUCAUGACUAUCUUACGUCUAUCUCCAACAAGCUCGAAUUAAUUCUCACGAAAGGAUGUUGAACACACGCCCAGAAGCUGCACACAAUUUUUAAGUAAAAUAAUUACACCCGCAAAGGAGAGGUGUGUUUACAGGCCACCUCCACACUAAAAUCUUUGGCAACUGGCCAUUUUAAUAUUUGACAUCAUUUAUAACAACAAGAAGGAAGUCAAUUUUCCCCAGAAAAUAGCAAGAGUUAGAUAAGGGGAUGUGAUUUGAUUUUUUCAUCUGAUGUAAUAUUCAACCUAGUACUCGGGUUUGCUCAUUCCCCAUGGUGCAAGAAAUGAAAAAAAAUAUUCAGAUAACAAACAUAGGAAGAACAGCUCUUUCCUUGAAUGAAUUCCUAUCAGGUUGUAAGUGAGUUGUAUUCAUUGGCUCAGAAGAGUUUCAGAGUUUCAUCUCCGACAUGGGACAUGCCAGUCCAAACAUGUAGGCAAAUAUUAGAACAUCAUGGCCACCCAAGUAUACAGGGUCAUGUUAGACAGAACAAAAGCCAUGCUAAAAUCAGUUUGCAUAAACUUGUAACGAAUCAGCGCAACCAAUGCACUAAAUCACAAAUAAUUGUCACAAGAAGAUUCAGUUGGUAUGACCUUACAAAAAAAACCAAAAAACAAAAUGGGUUCAAAAACAGCGGCGAUCUCAAUGACGUAAGAAAUCAAAAAGGUAACCCAUGAAAAAACCAGAGCACACAAAAAAAUCACAACUAAUCUUUCUAAUAUUAAACUCUUAAUCUUAAAAAGAGAAUGCGAACUUGAUUGCCAAUGCUGCUCAACAGCAAAACUCACAAUUUACAUCUGACGAGCGACACAAAAGAAACGAAUAUCCCAAAAAACCAAUACCAGAGAACUCAAUAACACCAAUUCUUACGCCCCAAAAUUUGUUUAGGUUGGUUAUACUCCACUAAUACAACAAAAAAAAUCCGAAAUAUUAGCGAGGUAAGAAAAACCCAAAAAUGAUGAGACAUAGAAAAGAGUUAAAUAAACAUGAGAGAGGGGGAGAACUAACCAAGAGACAAACCCCAUCACAGGUGGAAAAGAAGUAAGUAUCGAAAUAAAAAAAUUAAAUCUCUGUUAAAGAUGGCGUGAUUUUUCAAAAUAAUUCCCUACAAAUGAGGCCAAAUUCUAUUGCCUUUGAUCUAAUCCGGAGGCUUCAUUAUGUUAAUCUAUAACAAAAAAAAGAAAGCCAACCAAAUAAAUUGUCCAUACUCAUCAUAAAAAAAAAGUGAAUUAAGAAACCACAUGAAAGAAUCCUCACUAUAUUAUCAAGAAAGUGGCAUAUUCUAGAAACCAGAAACAUGCAAGGUUAUUGAUUCUCGUUCAGCCACAAUCUAAACCAGUGUUCCACGAUUACUAUGACCGUCACCGACGCCUUUAUUCGUUUUUCCACCUCUAAAUUGCUUUGAUCCAGCCCUUGAAGGACUCCUCUCUCCAUGACCGAUCAAUAGCAAUACUUUAACCAAACGCCAGAUAUUUCAAUUGCGCAAACAAAUUAUAAGAUCUUAAAAAAGCAU